rnacentral:rRNA from 1 species
UGGCUCAGGACGAACGCUGGCGGCGUGCUUAACACAUGCAAGUCGAACGAUGAAGCCGCUUCGGUGGUGGAUUAGUGGCGAACGGGUGAGUAACACGUGGGCAAUCUGCCCUUCACUCUGGGACAAGCCCUGGAAACGGGGUCUAAUACCGGAUAACACUCCUGCCUGCAUGGGUGGGGGUUGAAAGCUCCGGCGGUGAAGGAUGAGCCCGCGGCCUAUCAGCUUGUUGGUGGGGUAAUGGCCUACCAAGGCGACGACGGGUAGCCGGCCUGAGAGGGCGACCGGCCACACUGGGACUGAGACACGGCCCAGACUCCUACGGGAGGCAGCAGUGGGGAAUAUUGCACAAUGGGCGAAAGCCUGAUGCAGCGACGCCGCGUGAGGGAUGACGGCCUUCGGGUUGUAAACCUCUUUCAGCAG